AUUCUGCCCAAGCGGGGAAGGAAGAGAAGCUUCGACCAAGGUUCGACUUGAGCGCCAGCGAGAGAGCGUUGCCGCAGGCAACGACCCGAAGGGCGAAGCGCGCAGCGCUGAGUAAUCCUUCCCCCACCACCA
rnacentral:sRNA from 1 species